GAUGAACGCUAGCGGCAGGCUUAAUACAUGCAAGUCGUGGGGCAGCAUGAAUGUAGCAAUACAUUUGAUGGCGACCGGCAAACGGGUGCGGAACACGUACACAACCUUCCUAUAAGUGGGGAAUAGCCCAGAGAAAUUUGGAUUAAUACCCCGUAACAUAACGAUGUGGCAUCACAUUGUUAUUAUAGCUUCGGCGCUUAUUGAUGGGUGUGCGGCUGAUUAGAUAGUUGGCGGGGUAACGGCCCACCAAGUCUACGAUCAGUAGCUGAUGUGAGAGCAUGAUCAGCCACCCGGGAACUGAGACACGGGCCCGACUCCUACGGGAGGCAGCAGUAAGGAAUAUUGGUCAAUGGACGCAAGUCUGAACCAGCCAUGCCGCGUGAAGGAUUAAGGUCCUCUGGAUUGUAAACUUCUUUUAUCUGGGACGAAAAAAGGCUUUUCUAAGUCACUUGACGGUACCAGAUGAAUAAGCACCGGCUAACUCCGUGCCAGCCGCCGCCGUAACAC
rnacentral:rRNA from 1 species